AAGUUCGUACGAUCGUUAAUACUAAAAGUGGAAGGACGCAAAAUAUAUUAGCAUGACCCCUGCGCAAGGAUGACAUCAAAAAUCGCGAAACUUUCUACAUUUUU
rfam:Glossina palpalis gambiensis isolate 146720 unplaced genomic scaffold Scaffold140, whole genome shotgun sequence.